UUCGUUCAUUUUUUUGAAUUCGGACGGUUGGCCUUUUAUUCUCGACGAGAUUCGGACGAAUAAGAGAACGAUAUCCCGACGGAAUAUGAUAAAGGAUCCGACAUUUGUCUUCGUAUGAAGAAGGAACCAUUUAGCACAGUUGCAGUAUUGCUCCCAGUGGAACGAUAUUAUACGAGAAAUGUCUGCUUUUUGACAAGUAUCCAGCUUGAGCCAUCCAAUUUCUUUCAAAUAGCAAUGCAACUAUAUAAUGAUAUUUGUAUAAACUCAACAGAAAAAAUCUAAUAAUUGUAUCUCAUUGAUAUCAUACUUACAUUACUUACAUGAAAAAAAUCCUAAAAGCAUAAUUUCAUCAUGGAUUGAAAUUAAAAGAAAAAAAGAAAAGAAAAGAAAAGAAAAAAUCGACACAAGCACACUCAAACGAUGAUUCGAUAAGACUGGAUCAAUAAUUUAUAUUAUUGAAAUCAUCUUGUUCAAGUUUAAGGGAGCAGGAAAUGAAAGAGUGUAUCUUACGUAAGUACAAGUUACACGAAAUUCGAGAUGGAACGAUCUCGCCAGUUUCCCUCGAUACUGCAGUUCUCUUGCUUCUUGAAAAUGUAAUCUUUUCUGGGAUUGGGGAAACUCGGGGAUGGCCGAAGUUGUACGGAGGAACCUUUUAUAAAUUCAGCAGCCGGUAUUCGGUAACUUUUGCAAAGGUUUGGCCUGGCGAAGUUUCCAUUAUUCCACCAGUUCCAUUGUCGCGUCUCAAUUUCGCGUUCCUCAAAUUCAAGAUGCUGAAUCGAUUCCAAUAUCCUUUUGUCCGCGAUGGCACACGAUGACACCAGAUAAGUAAUUUCAUUAAAGAUAUACGCGGGGAUCGAUUUAUUCUCAGCACUUGGUGGUAACAGAUUUAUACAAAAAUAUAAAUAUAUAAAUAUAUUUUUUUU